rnacentral:rRNA from 1 species
CCUACGGGAGGCAGCAGUAAGGAAUAUUGGUCAAUGGGCGGAAGCCUGAACCAGCCAUGCCGCGUGCAGGAAGACGGCCCUACGGGUUGUAAACUGCUUUUGUACCGGAAUAAACCCUGAUUCGUGAAUCAGGCUGAAUGUACGGUAAGAAUAAGGAUCGGCUAACUCCGUGCCAGCAGCCGCGGUAAUACGGAGGAUCCAAGCGUUAUCCGGAUUUAUUGGGUUUAAAGGGUGCGUAGGCGGCCUGUUAAGUCAGGGGUGAAAGACGGUAGCUCAACCAUCGCAGUGCCCUUGAUACUGAUGGGCUUGAAUACACUAGAGGUAGGCGGAAUGUGACAAGUAGCGGUGAAAUGCAUAGAUAUGUCACAGAACACCAAUUGCGAAGGCAGCUUACUAUGGUGCGAUUGACACUGAGGCACGAAAGCGUGGGGAUCAAACGGGAUUAGAUACCCUGGUAGUCCACGCCCUAAACGAUGAAUACUCGAUGUUGGCGAUAUACGGUCAGCGUCUAAGCGAAAGCGUUAAGUAUUCCACCUGGGGAGUACGCCCGCAAGGGUGAAACUCAAAGGAAUUGACGG